UAACUAAAGAGAGCUCCAAGAGUUCAAAGAGC
rnacentral:piRNA from 1 species